rnacentral:rRNA from 1 species
CCUACGGGUGGCAGCAGUGGGGAAUAUUGGGCAAUGGGCGCAAGCCUGACCCAGCAACGCCGCGUGAAGGAAGAAGGCUUUCGGGUUGUAAACUUCUUUUCUCAGGGACGAAGCAAGUGACGGUACCUGAGGAAUAAGCCACGGCUAACUACGGGCCAGCAGCCGCGGUAAUACGUAGGUGGCAAGCGUUAUCCGGAUUUACUGGGUGUAAAGGGUGUGUAGGCGGGACUGCAAGGCAGAGGUGAAAACCACGGGCUCAACCUGUGGCCUGCAGUUGGAACUGGAGUUCUUGAGUACGGGAGAGGCAGACGGAAUGCCUAGUGUAGCGGUGAAAUGCGUAGAUAUUAGGAGGAACACCAGUGGCGAAGGCGGUCUGCUGGACAGCAACUGACGCUGAGGCGCGAAAGCGUGGGGAGCAAACAGGAUUAGAUACCCUAGUAGUC